ACACCAAUUGCGAAGGCAGCUCACUAAACUAUUACUGACGCUCAUGAACGAAAGCGUGGGGAGCAAACAGGAUUAGAUACCCUGGUAGUCCACGCCGUAAACUAUGAUCACUAGAUGUUGGCGAUAUAUUGUCAGUGUUUUAGAGAAAUCGUUAAGUGAUCCACCUGGGGAGUACGUUCGCAAGAAUGAAACUCAAAGGAAUUGACGGGGGCCCGCACAAGCGGAGGAGCAUGUGGUUUAAUUCGAUGAUACGCGAGGAACCUUACCAAGACUUAAAUGUAUUUUGACAGGUUGAGAAAUCAACUUUUCUUCGGACAAUUUACAAGGUGCUGCAUGGUUGUCGUCAGCUCGUGCCGUGAGGUGUCGGGUUAAGUCCCAUAACGAGCGCAACCCCUAUUUUUAGUUACCAGCGAGUCAUGUCGGGAACUCUAGAAAGACUGCCUGUGUAAACAGUGAGGAAGGUGGGGAUGACGUCAAAUCAUCACGGCCCUUAUGUCUUGGGCUACACACGUGCUACAAUGGUCACUACAGUGGGCUGCCAUCUGGCAACAGAGAGCAAAUCCAUAAAGGUGAUCCCAGUUCGGAUCGGAGUCUGCAACUCGACUCUGUGAAGUUGGAUUCGCUAGUAAUCGUAUAUCAGCAAUGAUACGGUGAAUACGUUCCCGGGCCUUGUACACACCGCCCGUCAAGCCAUGGAAGUUUGUGGUGCCUGAAGUCAGUAACCGUAAGGAUCUGCCUAGGGUAAAACAGAUAACUAGGGCUAAGUCGUAACAAGGUAGCCGUA
rnacentral:rRNA from 1 species